rnacentral:rRNA from 1 species
GAUGAACGCUGGCGGCGUGCCUAAUACAUGCAAGUCGAGCGAACAGACGAGGAGCUUGCUCCUCUGACGUUAGCGGCGGACGGGUGAGUAACACGUGGAUAACCUACCUAUAAGACUGGGAUAACUUCGGGAAACCGGAGCUAAUACCGGAUAAUAUAUUGAACCGCAUGGUUCAAUAGUGAAAGACGGUUUUGCUGUCACUUAUAGAUGGAUCCGCGCCGCAUUAGCUAGUUGGUAAGGUAACGGCUUACCAAGGCGACGAUGCGUAGCCGACCUGAGAGGGUGAUCGGCCACACUGGAACUGAGACACGGUCCAGACUCCUACGGGAGGCGGCAGUAGGGAAUCUGCCGCAAUGGGCGAAAGCCUGACGGAGCAACGCCGCGUGAGUGAUGAAGGUCUUCGGAUCGUAAAACUCUGUUAUUAGGGAAGAACAAAUGUGUAAGUAACUAUGCACGUCUUGACGGUACCUAAUCAGAAAGCCACGGCUAACUACGUG